rnacentral:rRNA from 1 species
CGACGGGUAGCCGGCCUGAGAGGGCGACCGGCCACACUGGGACUGAGACACGGCCCAGACUCCUACGGGAGGCAGCAGUGGGGAAUAUUGGGCAAUGGGCGAAAGCCUGACCCAGCGACGCCGCGUGAGGGAUGAAGGUCUUCGGAUUGUAAACCUCUUUCAGUAGGGAAGAAGCGAAAGUGACGGUACCUAAAGAAGAAGCACCGGCUAACUAUGUGCCAGCAGCCGCGGUAAUACAUAGGGUGCAAGCGUUGUCCGGAAUUAUUGGGCGUAAAGAGCUCGUAGGUCGUUUGUCACGUCGAUUGUGAAAAUCUGAGGCUCAACCUCAGACCUGCAUUCGAUACGGGCAAACUAGAGUGUGGUAGGGGAGACU